rnacentral:snRNA from 1 species
CUCUUCUCUUAAGAUACUUAUGAACGAUACAGAGAAGAUUAGCAUGGCCCCUGAGCAAGGAUGACACGCAAAUUCGUGAAGCGUUCCAUAUUUUU